rnacentral:rRNA from 1 species
GAUGAACGCUGGCGGCGUGCUUAACACAUGCAAGUCGAACGAAGCACUUUAUUUGAUUUCCUUCGGGACUGAUUAUUUUGUGACUGAGUGCCGGACGGGUGAGUAACGCGUGGGUAACCUGCCUUGUACAGGGGGAUAACAGUUGGAAACGGCUGCUAAUACCGCAUAAGCGCACGGCAUCGCAUGAUGCAGUGUGAAAAACUCCGGUGGUAUAAGAUGGACCCGCGUUGGAUUAGCUAGUUGGUGAGGUAACGGCCUACCAAGGCGACGAUCCAUAGCCGACCUGAGAGGGUGACCGGCCACAUUGGGACUGAGACACGGCCCAAACUCCUACGGGAGGCAGCAGUGGGGAAUAUUGCACAAUGGGCGAAAGCCUGAUGCAGCGACGCCGCGUGAGCGAAGAAGUACUUCGGUAUGUAAAGCUCUAUCAGCAGGGAAGAUAAUGACGGUACCUGACGAAGAAGCACCGGCUAAAUACGUG